rnacentral:rRNA from 1 species
GCUCAGGAUGAACGCUAGCUACAGGCUUAACACAUGCAAGUCGAGGGGAAACGACAUCGAAAGCUUGCUUUUGAUGGGCGUCGACCGGCGCACGGGUGAGUAACGCGUAUCCAACCUGCCCACCACUUGGGGAUAACCUUGCGAAAGUAAGACUAAUACCCAAUGAUAUCUCUAGAAGACAUCUGAAGGAGAUUAAAGAUUUAUCGGUGAUGGAUGGGGAUGCGUCUGAUUAGCUUGUUGGCGGGGUAACGGCCCACCAAGGCGACGAUCAGUAGGGGUUCUGAGAGGAAGGUCCCCCACAUUGGAACUGAGACACGGUCCAAACUCCUACGGGAGGUAGCAGUGAGGAAUAUUGGUCAAUGGGCGAGAGCCUGAACCAGCCAAGUAGCGUGCAGGAUGACGGCCCUAUGGGUUGUAAACUGCUUUUAUAAGGGAAUAAAGUGAGUCUCGUGAGACUUUUUGCAUGUACCUUAUGAAUAAGGACCGGCUAAUUCCGUGCCAGCAGCCGCGGUAAUACGGAAGGUCCGGGCGUUAUCCGGAUUUAUUGGGUUUAAAGGGAGCGUAGGCCGGAGAUUAAGCGUGUUGUGAAAUGUAGACGCUCAACGUCUGCACUGCAGCGCGAACUGGUUUCCUUGAGUACGCACAAAGUGGGCGGAAUUCGUGGUGUAGCGGUGAAAUGCUUAGAUAUCACGAAGAACUCCGAUUGCGAAGGCAGCUCACUGGAGCGCAACUGACGCUGAAGCUCGAAAGUGCGGGUAUCGAACAGGAUUAGAUACCCUGGUAGUCCGCACGGUAAACGAUGGAUGCCCGCUGUUGGUCUGAAUAGGUCAGCGGCC